GGAUCCAGACUUUGAUUAUGGCUCAGGAUGAACGCUAGCUACAGGCCUAACACAUGCAAGUCGAGGGGAAACGGCAGCUUAGCUUGCUAAGCUGGACGUCGACCGGCGCACGGGUGAGUAACGCGUAUCCAACCUGCCCCACGGUGAGGGAUAACCCGCGGAAACGCGGCCUAAUACCUCAUGGUCUCCGAGCUUGACAUCAAUCUUGGAGUAAAGAUUCAUUGCCGUGGGAUGGGGAUGCGUCUGAUUAGCUUGUUGGCGGGGCAACGGCCCACCAAGGCAACGAUCAGUAGGGGUUCUGAGAGGAAAGCCCCCCACAUUGGAACUGAGACACGGUCCAAACUCCUACGGGAGGCAGCAGUGAGGAAUAUUGGUCAAUGGGCGAGAGCCUGAACCAGCCAAGUAGCGUGCAGGAAGACGGCCCUAUGGGUUGUAAACUGCUUUUAUGCGGGGAUAAAGCGGGCGACGUGUCGCCCUUUGCAGGUACCGCAUGAAUAAGGACCGGCUAAUUCCGUGCCAGCAGCCGCGGUAAUACGGAAGGUCCGGGCGUUAUCCGGAUUUAUUGGGUUUAAAGGGAGCGCAGGCCGGGUAUUAAGCGUGUUGUGAAAUGUAGGCGCCCAACGUCUGCACCGCAGCGCGAACUGGUGCCCUUGAGUACGCACGACGUUGGCGGAAUUCGCCGUGUAGCGGUGAAAUGCUUAGAUAUGGCGAAGAACUCCGAUUGCGAAGGCAGCUGACGGGAGCGCUACUGACGCUCAUGCUCGAAAGCGCGGGUAUCGAACAGGAUUAGAUACCCUGGUAGACCGCGCGGUAAACGAUGGAUGCCCGCUAUUUGCGCAUUAGCGCAAGUGGCCAAGUGAAAACGUUAAGCAUCCCACCUGGGGAGUACGCCGGCAACGGUGCAACUCAAAGGAAUUGACGG
rnacentral:rRNA from 1 species